UUAAAUUGAUUUUAGAAAACAUUGCAAUCUAACCCCAAUGUUGAUCAAUUUGCCUCAUUGGAAGUAUUUCUUGCAACAAACUGAGGUUUUUGACUUAGCCCUCCUUAUUCCCAGAUUGAGCAUGUUGAAUACUAAUCUGUCAGAAAAUAUUUCUCUUAAUUUUGGCUUUCUCUAAAUAUAAGUCUCCCUAAACCUCUACGAGCCCUAAAACACCAACCAUCAGUCGUACCCUCACCGCCAGUCACCAUCAUAAGCUGCCCACCAUCUCUAUCGGCAUCUUACAUCUGCCACCGGAUCUCUUUCCUCGCCACCAUCGAAUAGCCACCGAUCACUCACCUCCAUUACUCCAAUUGUUUCUAGCUGACACCAAAUGGAGCUGUUGGAAUGAAAACGAAUGGAGCUAUAAGAAUGAAAUCGAAGUCAUGAAGAGGAACAAGAACAGGGACGAAAAAUAUGGUGCUUCGUUUUGUUUGAAUUUUCCCCCUGCUUAUUACGAGCUCUAAAUGAAAACUUGUAUUAUUUUGAAUUUCAAUCCAGAUUGUAGGAAUGGGUCAAAUCAGCCACUAGGUUUGAUUUUUUUUACCUUUCCAAUCUUUAUCAUUGCAUUUGCUUUCCCUGUUUUGAUUUGUAUUUAUCAUCAAUUUUAUAAGUUUUUGUUUUGUGUUCCAUUGUAGAACAAUUUUGGGUAUGUUUUUUUUUGCUCCUUUCUAUGUAAGCCUUUUUCCCUUUCUCAUAUUUUUUUUAAUUUAGAUCGAACUUAUAUGUAUUACCAUAUCUAUUUGCUCAUGUUUUUUAUUUUCUCAUGAUUUAGGUAAUGCUUGGAAAGGAACGACAACCCAAAAGCCAUAUGAGGGGUUUGGGAAUACCCAAUAACCAUGUAGUCAUCUGGUAUGGCUUCAGAAGCUUUCUUCAUCUUUUUGUUUCAUUAUCUUUUCCUGAUUUAUUCACCCAUAUCUUACUUGAAAGUUUUUGUGAACACAUGUAACUAAGGGCUCUUUCUUUAUAAAACUUACUUGACUAACAUGAUGUGUAUUAACAAUCUUUUUAGGUGGUUGUUAAGAUCUUUAUUUCUUUUUGCAGAUCUGACCAUAAAUGAUCUAUCGAUGUCCAUCUUUUGAUAAUUUCUUUUUGUCGUUAUGUUAAUAAGGUUUUUAGACCAUUUCAAGGUUAAGGUUCGUAUUAAGCUCAAAAUAAAAAGAUAAAUGGAUGAAAUAAGAUAAUGUAAGGGCAAGAGAAAAGUUUGAUUGCUUAUUUAAUUAUUAAAACUGUUGUAUAAAAUGAGUUGUAAAUAUCCGAAUGUAGGAGAGAUGGUGGUCAAAUGAAGUUGUGUACAUGGUAUGAUGUGAAAUGAAUGUAGGAGUAGAGUAUUUGGACUUUACAACAGGUAAGAGAUCCUCAUAAAGCUUCAAUUUACAGGUUUCAUAGCUCCAACCUUCAAGUUUUGAUUUCAAAAUUUCACCCCUAAAAUGCGUCCACAAUGGUAAGUACCUAAAAUGUUAUUUCAAAAUGGUUUAGGAUCCAAUUUUUCUCGAGUUAUCUGAUUAGUCAACUUAUGCCGGAUAAAUCAGAUGUGCAACAUCAGAUCUAUACCUUUUGUAUUUUAUGUUAGCUUUUAAAUGUCUCAGGCCUAUACUUUUCCUUUCGUGCUGAUUUCAAUAUACAUGUUGAAAUUUGGGUCUGUCAUUGUUUAUGUUGAAACGAAAGUUCACCUGAUUUUUUUGAAUCCGGUAUCUUUUAAAAAAAUAUAUCUUAUCCUUGCAAAUGAUCAACAAUUGUAGUUCCUUGAAGCUUAAUCUUUGAUUUGUGUUUUUAUUUUUUUAGCUUAUUUGGGAAAACUUUCUAAUAGACUUUGUAUUGUGAUUGAAAAUGAUUAAAAAAUCAUAGUUCGAAUAUCCUCCCAUUGGAUACUCACCAUACAAUCUUCCAAAACUAUGGUUCGGUUGUUCAAGCGGGGAUCAAAUGUCAUGCCUAUGGACUUUAAUCCCCAAUAACCUCUUAGGUUUAUUCCAUAUCUACUUACUUCCACCCCUAAAUAAUGUUUGACCUCAUUCGUUUGAUACUUUUUCUCAUGAUCUUAAAUUUAUCUUAAGAGCAAAAUGCAAGAAAUGGCAACAUACUUUCAUUUAUAUGUUUAUUAUAACAUCCUACUUCUAUUUUCAUUCUACUAUAAAACUUUUAGCACCUAGCAAUAGAGACUAUGAUUCCUUCAUGUCCUAUUCAAGUGACAAUAUGGUAUGAGUUUGGUUUUGAGUUUUUGUUUCCUGGGAUUAUAUGGUUGUUUACAUUUAUUCAGAUCUGAAUUUUAUAGUUUUCAGACAGUUCUUUGCUUCAACAGUUUCUCAUAGAAGAUUGGCUUCUUUGGUUGGCUUACUCACAAAUUGCCAACCCCUAGGAUAUAUUAUGAUUGAAUGAUUAGCUCCCAUUGCAGAUUGUGUUUUGCACCAUUGGUUCAAAUUAAAGUCUAUAUGAUCAUUAGGUUGUGAGUUUGAGAGAUACAUGUAUGUUGCUAGAGGUUACUUUCUUGAUACACACGAGCCUGAAUAUGUUGAAAAGAGCAUGCAAGUAUAGUUACAAUCUAAUAACAAAAAUAUUCAUUAUAGUUUCAUCCUUACAUGUAUAGACACUUUAAAUAAUAAAAGCUCAAUUGUGAUAUGUGGUUCCACUUUUUUGUCUGUGUAAAAGGAACUCUAAAAAAUCAUUAUAAAGUUUCAUCCUUACAACUAUAGACACUUCAAAUAAUAAUAAAAACAAACUAAUUUUUUUUUUCAAAACUAAUUAAAAUAAUUUCAAAAUAUUUGACUAAAGAAAAAUAGUUUUUGUUCAAGCCUCAAGUGGUUAUUUUCUAUUUGGAGUCGAAGUUUAUUUUCUAUUUUAUAAAGAUAUCUGGAAUUUAAUUAUUACCUAUGCGUUUUUUUAAUUUUGAAAAAUAUUCAUCAAAAUUAACUAAAAUAAUUAAACCUAUUUUUUGUAAUUCUAUAACUUUUUGGAUGAAAUAUUU
rnacentral:lncRNA from 1 species